GCAUUAAUGGGGUAGUGGUAACCUGGGUCGUUGCCAUACAUACUCUCGUACACUGCGUCGACCCGCCGGGGGUUCAAUUCCCUCUUAAUGCA